UUGUUUUUUAGCCUAUGCCUACCGGACAAUGGUCAUCGUCAUCACUCAUAGACAAAUUGAAUACUUCCGAAAUCCGAAAUUAAAUAUGGCUCCCUCUAAAUUUCGAUUUCAAAUGUGGUUCUUAAGUUUUUUUGUUUUCACAUAUUAAGUUUAACUGUUGGUGGUUGGUUACAAACUGAUGUUUUAUCUAUUUCUGUCGUAUUUCACGUAGAGAAAAUGGUACAAAUUGAAAAGAUGUCUUUGACGAUAUUUGUAAAUGUACAGGACUUACAAUGGAAGAAUCAAGUGAUACUUGGAUAUGUCCAACUUGUAUGCGAAGAGGACUGCGCUGCCCUGAUGCAUCGCCUGAAAAGCAGCAAGCCUCCACGCGGCGUCAUAAAAAGGAUCUAGGACAAAGCGACAAGCACUUGUCAAGGGAUGACUUGCAGAAGGUAAUUACAGAGGGAAUAAACCAGGCAAUCGACACUAAACUAGGUUAUAUAUAUACAGAAUAAACUGAUUGAAACUCUAAAAGCUUCUCUUAUUGUGGAGUUGCGAGAAGAAAUCAAGUCUUUCAUUAUUCCAUACGUCGAAGAAACAAAAUCUCUAAGGUAGGAAUUGAGUCUACUUAAGAAUGAUCUUUUGAAUUGCAAUGCCAUGGUAGGUGAACUAAAAUCUCAAAUCGGAAA